rnacentral:rRNA from 1 species
UACGUACUGGCAUUGUUGGUUUCUCCCUUCUGACGAACCAUGAUGUCAUUUAUUUGGUGUUGUGGGGAAUCAGGACUGUUACUUUGAAAAAAUUAGAGUGUUUAAAGCAGGCUCACGCUUGAAUACAUUAGCAUGGAAUAAUGAAAUAGGACGUUUGAUUCUAUUUUGUUGGUUUCUAGGAUCGACGUAAUGAUUAAUAGGGAUAGUUGGGGGCGUUAGUAUUCAAUUGUCAGAGGUGAAAUUCUUGGAUUUAUUGAAGACUAACUACUGCGAAAGCAUUUGCCAAGGAUGUUUUCAUUAAUCAAGAACGAAAGUCAGGGGAUCGAAGACGAUCAGAUACCGUCGUAGUCUUAACCAUAAACUAUGCCGACUAGGGAUCGGAUGAUGUUAAUUUUUUAAUGACUCAUUCGGCGCCUUACG